AUCAUGUUGAAACACCAGUUCCUAUACCACCAAAGUUAAGCAACAUCGAACCUGGUCAGUACUUAAAUGGGUGACCACUUGGGAAUACCAGGUGUUAUAU